rnacentral:guide_RNA from 1 species
AACAAAAACAAAAUCACUGCCCUUAUAUGUAUGAUU